AUACGUAGGUGGCAAGCGUUGUCCGGAUUUAUUGGGCGUAAAGCGAGCGCAGGCGGUUCUUUAAGUCUGAUGUGAAAGCCCCCGGCUCAACCGGGGAGGGUCAUUGGAAACUGGAGAACUUGAGUGCAGAAGAGGAGAGUGGAAUUCCAUGUGUAGCGGUGAAAUGCGUAGAUAUAUGGAGGAACACCAGUGGCGAAGGCGGCUCUCUGGUCUGUAACUGACGCUGAGGCUCGAAAGCGUGGGGAGCAAACAGGAUUAGAUACCCUGGUAGUCCACGCCGUAAACGAUGAGUGCUAAGUGUUGGAGGGUUUCCGCCCUUCAGUGCUGCAGCUAACGCAUUAAGCACUCCGCCUGGGGAGUACGGCCGCAAGGCUGAAACUCAAAUGAAUUGACGGGG
rnacentral:rRNA from 1 species